rnacentral:rRNA from 1 species
GAUGAACGCUAGCUACAGGCUUAACACAUGCAAGUCGAGGGACCGGCGCACGGGUGAGUAACACGUAUCCAACCUGCCCUUUACUCGGGGAUAGCCUUUCGAAAGAAAGAUUAAUACCCGAUAUAAAGGAUGGGGAUGCGUUCCAUUAGGUUGUUGGUGAGGUAACGGCUCACCAAGCCUUCGAUGGAUAGGGGUUCUGAGAGGAAGGUCCCCCACGAUGGAACUGAGACCCGGUCCAAGCCGCCACGCGAGGGCGGCGUUGAGAACAAUGGGCAAUUGGCGCUAAGCUGAACCAGCCAAGUAGGGUGAAGGGUGAAGGCUUUUGGGUCGUAAACCUCUUUUAUAUAAGAAGAUGUAUUAUAUGAAUAAGGAUCGGCUAACUCCGUGCCAGCAGCCGCGGUAAUUC